UACGAAUCGUCCAAACGUUGUUCGGAUUUACUGGGUUUAAAGGGCGCGUAGGCGGCCUUCUAAGUCGAACGUGAAAUCCCCGGGCUCAACCCGGGAACUGCGUCCGAGACUGGAAGGCUUGAAUCCGGGAGAGGGAUGUGGAAUUCCAGGUGUAGCGGUGAAAUGCGUAGAUAUCUGGAGGAACAUCGGUGGCGAAGGCGGCAUCCUGGACCGGUAUUGACGCUGAGGCGCGAAAGCCAGGGGAGCAAACGGG
rnacentral:rRNA from 1 species